UAUUGAGCACCAAAUCAGGCUAAUUUAUUAGAUUGUUUUGAAAUUUGUUAAAAAAUACAUUACCAUUCUUAUUUAUUUAUUUAUUAAUGAACAAAACAGAAAAAUAAAUACAAAAAAGUAUCACAGUUUCAAAUAAUAAGCAGCACAACCAUUUUCAACAUUGAUAAUAAUGAGAAAUGUUUAUUGAGCACCAAAUCAGCAUUAUUAGAAUGAUUUCUGAAGGAUCACGUGACACUGAAGACUGGAGUAAUGACUGUAUAUAUGACUAUAUAUAUAUAUAUAUAUGAAACGGUUAUCGUGAAUAAAAUUCUUAAAUUUGGUCAAUAAAUGCAGCUAUAUAUGCAUUUAUUUGACCGAAUGUAAGAAUUUUAUGUGAAAUUCCUAUUACCUCUGAAACUUAAGAAUCAUGUCAUUCUCAAAUUCAAUGUCAUCUUUGUUCCCAUAGAACAUUUAAUGUGUGGGGGAAGUCUCUAAAAAUGCAUGAAUCAUCAGAAGUAAAUUAAUAAUUCAUACACCACAUGGUGUCCACAGCUGUGCCAUUCUCAUAAUCUGACAUAAAUACUGAAAGGUUUGCUUUAACUAUUCAUUCACUCCUAUAAAAUGUCAUGCAAAAUUUACAUUCUGUGUAACUGAUACAUGUUAACAUUAUACAUAACAGAAUACCUUUGCAUAAAACAUACAGCUGGUCAAUGACACUUUAAACUAAUCAACAAAAUGUGAUGGAUGUGCAAAAGGCAAUAAAUAAACAGGAAAACAACGAAGAAUUCAAUUCAACUUCAGGCUCCUUCAGAAACAGACUAAAGGUGUGUAGUUAUACAAUAUAAAUGCAUAUGUCGUUACAGAUAUAAGUGUAAAUUCAGUCUCCAUUUUAAGUGUCACGGCUAAUAUAUUUUUAGCAUAACAAUACCUUUCCAUUUAAGUACCUUGCUUAGGCCUAUAUGUAAGGAAGAGUUGGAAGAAACCAAAGAUACUUGCUGCCAUCUAGUGGACACUUUUUACAAACUGCAUUGGGUAUUUUCUACAGACUUGAAAUUUAAAUUAUUUUCCAAAUCCAUGAAGUGCUCUAUCCCUCAUUAUGUGACAGCAAUUGUGUGAUCAUAAAUAGAAGAUGAAAUAAUAUCUUAAUAAAUAAUAGGAAAAUACUAUAAAAAAAAUAGUUACAAUCCAUUGAGGCACAAUUCAAAUGCAACGCCCCGUGUAUGAAAACAUUAUCAGGUAAAUUCUUUAAAAUUUCAUUGCUUUGGCAUAUCAUUUGCAAAGACAUGAUUUAUAAUAUAUUCAGUUUCUAUUUUAUGUAUUUUUUAUUUCUGAAAAAUAUAUCUGAUUAAAUACAAAGUGUUGAUGCAUAAAAUGUUCUACUAUUGUAAAACUAGAAAAUAGUGUAACCAGCAUGCUUUGCUGCAUCAUCUGUCUGGAAAAUGUUUCCUAAACACACUUCACAGUGAAAGCACUGUUUUGUAACACUGCUCUGCAGAAGUACUGAAAAUUGUCCAGAUACUAUUUUUAGUGGAACUGUACAUGCCAAAUAUGUUCUAUGUUGAUGAGCAUUAUUUAAAAAGAAAGAAAGAAAGAAAGACAGAAAGAAAAAAGAACAGCAGAGACCUGUGUUCAUGUAUUUCUUAUUGAAAUAGGAAGCUUUUCUUUAAAUAACAUGACGGCCAUGAACCAUGAUUCUCAUCCAAAUUAGGCCCUAUCUGGACCUGUAAAUGCCCAAUACAUGCCAAAUAUGUUUGAUGUAGAUGAGCAUAAAAAUAAAAAUCCAUGGACUCUAAAGUUUACAAGUGUCUGCAGGUGCCUUCAUGGCCUCUAGAGGGACUAAAUACAAUCUCGGUUUACUCUGACAGCUGUUAUGUUGUAGCCUAGUCCACAAAAUAAGUAGCUAGUACUACCAUCUACCAUCAUGAUACUACAGCAUUGUCCUUCUGUAUAUAAAGGAAUAUCUGAAUUAGCAUCCAAUGUUUAUGAAUGGAAACCUAAUUUGAUAGCCUACAUAAAAACAUUUAAUGAAGACAUUUUUAAGACUGAGAUGUUUUGCAUCAAUGCAAAUCUGUAUUCUGGAAUGUCAAUUAUUUUUGGCUAUAUAAACAGGCUACAUAAAAGUGCAAAAGGUGUACUUAGAAUAAUCUUCAUGAAACAAGUUAUUACACCUAUAAAAUUACAGUAAUAAAUAAACAUUAAUAAAUGAGAAAAAAAAUAAUGGUAAGCACACUUUCCAACAAUAGCUAUAUUACAGUAAAUUGUUACUGUUAAAUAGCCUACAUAAUAUGUAACCUUCAAACAGUGUAAAGAAAUCUUAGAAUCUUUAGCCAUUUUGUUAAUUCCUUUGUUUGAUGAUAGUGGUGGUGAACAGGUUAUGAGAAUAAUUGUAUGGUGAUGAUUUAGCAGAUACUAUGGUACAUGUAGGUUUAAAAAAAUGCAGUGAUUGCAUGCAAUAUUUUAGCGUAUUCCGCGAGGUUAGCAUAAUUAUUGAAACAAACAAACAAACAAAACAAAAAUGCUGAUACAUAUUAGAAUUAAAUUUAAAGAUAAUAAUAUAAAGAUACUCAUAUAAAGAGAUAAUAUAGCCUAACAUUUUUCUAAUGUUAAAGAGAAAAAAGAAAGAAAGAAGUAAAAAAAACACCCGCUAAGCAUUGUAGCAGCAGGCGCAACGUCGAAAUAAUAAUACACUUGUAUUAGUAGCCCAUAUCUCAUUAUCGCAGAAGGACUCAGUUCCACCAUGACACGGUAGGCUAAGCGAAAAUCUCGAUUAUGUGAAAUGGCGGCAAGAGGAGGAGGCGAGGACGGAAACAUGAUACAGUACAGCGCCACUGACUGCACUGAACCAAUGAGUGAAACAGAAAACCCGGAGUGGAUUUUGUACAUCAGUCUGAAUCAACUACGCUGCAAGAGCCACAAACUACCAGAACGCUCCAUUAUCAUCGAGGAAGCUGCCCACACUUCAAGUCGAACACCCGAGUGAAUACAUGCAGUGAGCCUUGACAGGAAGGUUGAUAUUAAUGACAACUUUAUUUAUUUAUUGCACUCCCUCAGGCAUUGUAUACUUUUUUUUGUAUUAUUAUUUAAAUAAUAAUUAAAUUAAAUACUACAUUAAACAGUUAAAUAAUUUAGUAAUUUAAAUUAUUAUUUAAAUAUACAUGUAAAAAUGCUAGAUUUUAUAAAUAGCCUAUAACAGUGGAAACGUGUCAUCAAGGGUACACAACUCAAUAUGCAAGUGCUCCGGAGAAUACUUGAACUUAUUUGCUUAAACCAGCUCUGAUUAUGCAGGUCCUCAAAAUAAAUACUUGUUCUCAAGUUAAUUUUACCACUGGGGCCUUGACUGUUCCCAGCUGUCCCUCCUCCCAUCCACUCUCGAAUUGGUCCCUGACCAUACAUGGUCUUAGUUGAAGAAAGCGGCAGGCCAAGAGAGCUGUAGGAAGAAGUGAUCUGCCGCUCAAACAAGCCUGUGUGUGAAAGGGAGGAUUCAGUAUAGCGCUGGCCAUGUCACUCCCCCACCGCAACAAUUUACACUGUAAUAGUGUAAGAGCUAAAAAUGGGUUCCAGGUGACUCAUGUUGUGUUACAAGCUCCAUAAACAAAAUUUAAGUCUGAAAACUCUUGAGGUGAGACUACAGCAUUUGCAUGAAUUUCAGGAAUUUAUCAGCAAUAAGUGAAUAUGGUCUAGUUUCAGAAUUGUGAUGCAUGCUGGUUCAAAGCGUGUACAAACCUGUUCUUCAAAUACUGGAUGAUAUCUAGGCAUUUGAAAAACAGAAAAAAGUGUAAGACUGAGCGUAAGUAUCCUUAGCAAUUAAAAGGACUGUGUCUAAUUCAUGAAGUAGGUGUUUUUGAUGGCAUUUGAGUUUGUAGGGGGGAUAUGAUGACAUAAUUCCUGUUAUGUUAUUCUAAUGAAGUGAGAGACAGCCUUCCUUCCUACAUUCUACACAGAUUGUAUGACACACUGCAUGGAAUUUAACACUCCUGACUCUUAAAGACUCUAUGAAAUCGCUUUAUGAGCACAGCAGUGACCUGUGUUCAUCUAUUCUUAUUGAAACAGGAAGUUAUUUUGUGCAGUUUCUUUUUUAAUAACAUGAGAGACGUGAACCAUGAUUCUCAUACAAAAGUAUUCAGGGUCCUUAUCUGUCUGUUUUUCUGUUUAUCUCUCAUUAUCAAAUACUGAAAUCUGUCUGUACAAACAGGGGAAAUGUACUGUUUUUUGUUUGUUUUUUACAGUGUAUGAUAAUUUUAGCGGGUUAACGUAGUGUGUGACAGAAGUGGAACAUAUUUCUACUUUCAAUGAAUGAAGGCCUCACUAACACCUCUUCCAACAGCAACCUAGUUUUCCCAGGAGAUCUCCCAUCCAGGUACUGACCAGGCUCAGCCCUGCUUAGCUUCCAUGGGCAACCGGUCUUGGGCUGCAGGGUGAUAUGGCUGUGAAUGUGACUUUCACAUUCAUAUAGCCCACCAAAUAGGAAUUUAAAGGUUUGCAAGCUUCAGUUUUGUCCGUUCAUAGUGAAAUUAAAUUCCACCAAAUACACACAACAGAUUAUUAGCUGCAUAUGAAAAAAAUGCUGAAUCCAAUAAAUAUAUUCAAAAAGUUUGAAAACACGCAUUAUGUGAAGAAUUUAAAAUAUACAAUUAAUUAAUUACACGUUUUUUUGAACUUGUUUGAAUUUGAUUUUAAAAUUGUUUAACAUUUUUGGAAUAAUAAUUCAUGAAAAAAUGUAAAACUCACAAACAUUUCAACUUUGAGAAUCAAUUCUCUAACUGUGUAAAUGUGUUAAGCCUUAUUGCCUUAUAAAUAAUGUAUACUGAUGAACGAAUAAAUGGAUGAUCAACCACAAAUGUCAUGAACAAUAACACUAACUACUGAUAAAACGAUUCUUAUCAACCCACUUCCUGCUUUUCUGGCUCUCGCUGCACUUUUCUGUCUCUUUUUAUUUCUCCAUCUAUUCCUCAUGGAUUCUCUCAGCCCCAUACGUCUGAUUUAACAGGGCUUGUUUCUCUGUCUAUUUGAGUAAUAUUAAAGGGAUAGUUCACCCAAAAAUGAAAAUUCUGUGAUCAUUUACUCACUUACAACCAGCAAGUUUUUAUUACUAUUGAAAACAAAAAGAGAAAUUUAGCAGAAUGUCAAUACUGCUCUUUUCCACACAAUGAGUGAAUGGUGAUCAGGGGCUUUCAAAAAGUACAAUGAAAGUUCUAUUUAAAUGUAUUUAAAUUAGUUGUAUGUGUCAUUUUUACAGUUUGACGGUCCCUAGUCACAAUUCAAAUUCACAAAGUAAACCAACAACAUAAAGGUGAGUGAAUGAUGAGACUUUUCAUUUUCUGAGUGAGCUAUUCCUUUAAUGAUGAGCAAAAGACUGACGGUUAACUGACAAGAUUUCACUAUACAGUAGCAUCCUACAAGUAAAACACCCCUGAGUCAGAAAGCCUACUCAUUCUUGAUAUUACUCAUGCUCUGAAAAACAUUAACGCUUUCUGUGAGAGAGCAGAAAGAUGAGCACCAGUUCAACAAGAGAAGCAGGAUAGUACAGGGGACAAAAGACUGUCACUGCAUGCACCUUCCGUUAUAAAUCACAAUAGAUAUGAUUGACAACAACAGCAGAUUAAAUAUUUUCCUUCUUGCCAUCAGUAAGACAUUUUUAUGCAAAGCCAUUGCUUUAUCUAUUUUCUGCAUGUCAUAAUAUGACAAACCUCACCAUCAUUAUUUCCAGAUGUUUGUGCACAAAUAGAAAAAUGUCUUUCAGUAUGUUUUAAAUACCUGUAAUCACAUUAAUCCUGUAUUUCUGUACUUGCGCUGGCUAGUUAAUGGCCAAAGAAAAUGAUGCAAGGGGGUGUUUAUGGGCUUGCACACACUCACUGCAUUUAUCAUUUUAUUGUGUGCAUUGCAGAAGGAGGUAAUAAUUCAACAGAGCAGCUUAAGUCAACUCAUUUUUUAAAGGUGAAACCACCCAAACUUGUUGUCUAAUCAGCCAAAUACCUUUCAUUUUUAAGAUUUCUAAAGCAAGUUUUAUGGUUUCAUGUUUCUUCACAAACAAAAUGAGAUAAUAUUCACAAUCUUUACCACAAAAGAAAUAUAUGACAAAAGUGCAUGACUGUAAAAAACAAUUAUAAAUGAUACCGAUCUAAAGUCAUGAGGUGCCAGUGCGAACAUGACAUCUAUUAUAAUACAGAGUAUGCAUUUAGAAUAGGAUAAGGUUUGGCUAUAAGGUGUGGUCAGAUAGGCGUAGUAGUCCUUUUCUUAGCUUUGUCAACAGUUUAUAAAGAUUUCACAAACGUGUGUCUUAGAUCUGUAGUUUUCACUAGUUGGUAGAUCACUUGUGAAAAAAAAAAAAAAAAUUUUGGCAGUUCAUCAGCUACUCCGAAGAUUUUGGAUAUUACACCAUAAAAGUGGUCCAUACAGGGUUUUUUUUUUUUUUUUUGUGAACAAGCAGAUGACUUUUGGUAUAGCUAGGGGCCAAGGCUGUUGAUGGCCUUGCAGCCCAACAACAGCAUUGUGAAUCUGAUUUGGGGAGCUGUGAGAAGCCAAAAUUGGGCCACACCAUUAUGGAUGCACUCAAGGGGUAAUGACAGCAGACCAAUGAGGAAUGAGUAGCAAUAAUCUAGUCAAGAGAUAAUUCAAAAACCGAAUGAUUGUGGCCUAUGCAUGCAGCAAGAUGAAGCUACAUACAGCUGGUGAAAGAAAUCAGAGAGAUAAUGCUGAAGGGCAGAAAGAGAGCCACUCAUCAAGCUUUUAGAGGGGAAAAAAACUGAUUAACAUUCAUUUAUAAUCUCAAAUCUAAUUUCCACCCUAAUAAGUACAUCAGUAGGAUCUAAGACUUGAAAUUUCAAAAUAACAUCCAUCGUGAAACACAUGUAUCAUUUAAGGUGUCAUUACAAAAUAGCAUUGAAAUCCAUACUCCAUUUAUUACAACAGCAAUUCAUCAGAAGCCAAAUUAGCUGGAAAAUCUUUAUUUUAAGCAUACGGUUUGCCUGGAGGCACCAGCACUGUACAGAGUGAAUGUAGUGUAGUGUGCCAAAAAAUGAUCGGGUUUCCUCGUCACACAGUGGCUAGUGAUAAGAUCCUUAUAAAAAUAGGGCUUGUAGUGCACUGAAGAUUCUAUUCUAAUAUAUAACACAGGCCCAUCCAACCUCACAUUACCCCAUUAAAAUUCUUUUGUCCUGACUAAGACUUUGUUAUGGCUACAGAUGUCUGUCUGAGCUGCCACACUUUCUCAGGCAACAGAGGUGAAGCAUGGAACGUGUGGAAAUUCCCCUGCAGAAAUCCACUGACAGGUACGUAAAAACCUAAAACUGAGAGAACGCCCCCCUUCGAAGACAAAACUGUGCGAGAACCUAAUAAUGCUCAGCUUAAGGUGGACUUUAGAACUUGCAUGUGGAUAAUGACAAACAAGCCUCAACUUUGAUCAAAACAUUUAGCAGUUUAGUCUCUCUCAUCCAGAAACAAAUGAGCUGAAGAUUUGCGUAUUGACAGAGGGCCUGAUAUCAUACCUGCUUGUUCUGUACAGUAUGUGUUGGUAGGUACAGGUAUAAACCCUGACAAAUGAGAAGGCGAGAUAACAAUGGCAAGGAAGAUGAAAGAGAAAUGGCAGAAAAUGGGAAGUUUGACAGACAGAGAGGGGAGAGAAGGAGGGCGCAGAGAGGGGGAGGCAGAGAGGGCAAAUGCAAACAAUGAAUAAAUAUUCAUGUUCACCGACAGAAAGGUUGCAGUGUGCAAAAUUUCCAGCCUUUUGCAAUGUGAGUGGGAGAUACCAAUGCAGAAGAGAGAGGGGGAGGAAUGAGAGCAUUUACAAGCCUGAAGAAUGAUUCCACUGAUCAGGAGGUCCUCAGAAAAAUGUACUUGCAAAUUGAAACAGCCCGUUAUUGUUUGUUCAGAUGUGUCACAAACGAGCAACUCUUAAAUUAUGAUUCUUUCUAGUCUGUUAGAUACAAAGAGGUUUUAGUGCACUGACAUAUUUCUGUGGCUUUUGAUGAUACAUAAGGCUGCAGAUUGUGGGGUACAAUUGUCAGUAGAACCAGAGGGUGAAAAUCUGAGCCACAUCUGCCGCUGUUGUGCAUGAGUUGCUUCACAGAAGAACUUGAGUUUUUUUUUUUUGUCCUCACCGAAUGAGAGAUAUUAGAACAUCUAAACCCUGCCUGAAGUGCUUUGGGCUUUUAGAAAUCAGUCAAUGUCCUUGUGGCAUUUUUCAGACAGAUUCAGCACUAUGUUGGAUGGUUUUGUAACAAUAAGACUGAUCAUACACACUUGGUCCUGUUUUGUGGCAGACUGGCUCAUUCCUCUGUCAACAGCAAUGUGAGAUUUAAAAAACAUGCACAGAACGUUCCUGCUGAUGCUGUCCAAAUCACAAACGAUCAAAAACAACUAAAAACCUUCUAAGAAUGGAAAUCGCAUGUUCCUUUGCCAUCAAAUGAUCACAUUUUUUCUUUUCCCUUUGAAACCUUGCAUGAAUUACUAAACUGCAAAGGGAACAACUUUGCUUUUUAUUUCAAAACAAGAAUAUAAAAUAUUCAUUAUAAAAUUAAAAAUAAAAUGAAUAUUUGUUUCCUCAAAAUGAUGUGUUUUUAGAGAAUGACACUUCUCUUGUACUUGGCACAUUUAAAUUUGUCAUAUAUUAAAACACAAUCCUUGCAUCUGUAAUAUGCCCACUUCUGCACUAAAAAGUAAGCAAAAAUGUCAAAUGAGUAAAGUCUGAGCAAUAAAACAGUAAGCCAGAAAUGACCAGUGUUAUUUUAUUAUUAUUUAUAUAGUAUUAUAAUAUGCAUUAAUAUUUUGAAUUUGAAAAAUUAAAAUGCAAAAAUUAAUUAAUUUAUAUUUAUUUAUUUUAAAAAACUUUUUAUUGUUUUAAUUUGCAUUUACAUAAUUUUAUAUGAUUUUGUCGUUUGGAUUAUUUUUUCUGUUUUAGCUGACAAGGCAACAUUUCUUCAUGUUUUUAAGUUUUCCAUCUAAUAUUCAAAGUUUAUUUUAUCUUUAUUUCAGUGACCAAAAACUAAUUUUAAUAGCCUUAUUUUUAGAUACAGUAACAACACUGGAUAAUGUAAACAUCAUAUGUAAGAUGACAAUGCCUGAGGACGUAUGCAGAUUGUAUUCAUACUACACACAUGUAUAUUUUAUAGAACUUACUACAUCAUUUGAGAAGUUCUUCAGCAAAUGCAAUACAGACAGCAGAUAAAUAUCAUUGUGUAUGACAGUUAUGGGUAAAGCCUCUUUAUGGGUACUCUUCUUACAGUGUAUUUCACUAUCCAUGAAAAUGUCAUUUAAUGUAUUUUAAAUACAUAUUACACAAAAAGGCACACCUCAUCCAUAAGAAUAAGGUUUAAAAGUGUGAUUGAGAAAAGCCAGCGGUGAGGAGAGUGGGAAAGACUGAAUGAGUGAGUUCUGCUGAUAACUGUGGGCACGUCAGGGUCAAUGCUAAAGGAGAGCGGCACCUCCUACAGACAACAUGAUUAAUGAACACACUGAUGUGAACCUCUGAAUAUGACGAAGAAGCCUAAACUAAACCAGUCCUCAUGGGAGAAAUGCUCUCAGACCAGCACAAGAGACAUCCUCCAUCAACUGGAGAAUAUUUACACAUGAACUGAACAACCAUGAACAAAGGCGCACUCCACCCAACUCACAUGAAAUAAGUGUAAACUUCUAUAAAUAACGUCUACUUGCUAUGAAUGGGUGGUUAUGUAAUGAUAUAACAUCUAAAAAAAAAUUUUUUUAGACAGUAUUUACUGUUUCAUGUUACAUGUACAUACAUACAAAUGUAAACAUAUUCCCUUAGAUAAAUUAUUUUAAGCGAGGGUUGACGUUAGGAAUCAUUAGGUGUAUCAUCUUUUAAUGUGGUGUUGCAAACAAAAUCCUUCCUUGGGGACAAUGAAGGGGCCAUCAAGGUGAAAUGGAGAAAUGGGUUGGAAAUGAAGUAACAGGGUAAGCAUAUACUGGCUUUGCAGCAGGUCACCUGAGGUAUACUUCCUCACCCCCACCACAGGAAGUCCGACCUCAUAAAAACAGGAAACUCCACUGCUCUAAUACAUCAAAGAGCUACUGUGCAUAGGUGAAGUCCUCAAAAUAGCCAUGCCAAACUCAAGGCAGAUGGACGACUUUUUGUGUACAGAGGGUUAUAAGCGAUAAUAAAUUUGAAAGUCAUAUUUCUAAAUUAUAAUGUAGAUAUAUAAACAGCAGAAUACAUAUAUAAUAUAAACAGUGGAAUGGUCUAGAGGCACAUUUUUUAAAAGUUGAAAAGUUUUAUGCAAAAAGCCACUGUCAAGCACAUUUGUCUAAAAUGAACGGAAAAGCAGCGCAAAACGUGUUCUGCGUGGUCGCAUUUAUACUGAAUUCUGCAGGAUCUGUAUUUUUCUUGUGAGUUC